rnacentral:snRNA from 1 species
AAAUAAUUAUCCAAUUUGGGAGGAAUUAAUCAUGUCAAAUGAAAAUCAAAAUAAAAAAGCAGCAGAAAAAGCUAAAGAAGUUGAAGAAAAACUAAAAGAUAAAAAAGAAGAAAAAACAGAAGAUAUUAAUCAAACAAAACAAGAUAUCCAAGAUACACUAAAUUAAUUUAAAUCCCCUUACAACUUUUCGUUG